rnacentral:rRNA from 1 species
AUGAUUUCCCUAGUAACGGCGAGUGAAGAGGAAAGAGCUCAAAGUUGGAACCUGUUUGGCCUAGCUAAACCGGAUUGUAGACUGUAGAAGUGUUUUCCAGGCAAGCCGAGUAAAUAAGUCCUUUGGAACAGGGCAUCAUAGAGGGUGAGAAUCCCGUCUUUGGCUUGAGCAUUUGCCUUUUGUGAUACGCUUUCAAAGAGUCAGGUUGUUUGGGAAUGCAGCCUAAAUUGGGUGGUAAAUCUCACCUAAAGCUAAAUAUUGGCGAGAAACCGAUAGCGAACAAGUACCGUGAGGGAAAGAUGAAAAGAACUUUGAAAAGAGAGUUAAACAGUAUGUGAAAUUGUUAAAAGGGAACCGUUUGGAGCCAGACUGGCUUGUCUGUAAUCAAUCUAGGCUUCGGCCUGGAUGCACUUGCAGGCUAUGCCUGCCAACGACAAUUUGACUUGAGGGAAAAAACUAGGGGAAAUGUGGCCCACUUGUGGGUGUUAUAGUCCCUUAGAAAAUACCUUGGGUUGGAUUGAGGAACGCAGCGAAUGCUUAUUGGCGAGUUUUCCAGGAAGGUUUUCUGAGGUACUACGGUAUCAAGGUUGAUCUUUUUGGUUAUACUUCUAUU